CAGCCGCCGCGGUAAUACGAAGGGGGCUAGCGUUGCUCGGAAUGACUGGGCGUAAAGGGCGCGUAGGCGGCUGUUACAGUCAGACGUGAAAUUCCUGGGCUCAACCUAGGGGCUGCGUUUGAUACGUGAUGGCUCGAGUUCGGAAGAGGGUCGUGGAAUUCCCAGUGUAGAGGUGAAAUUCGUAGAUAUUGGGAAGAACACCGGUGGCGAAGGCGGCGACCUGGUCCGAUACUGACGCUGAGGCGCGAAAGCGUGGGGAGCAAACAGGAUUAGAUACCCCAGUAGUCCCUGUCUCUUAUAC
rnacentral:rRNA from 1 species